UACAGAGGGUGCGAGCGUUAAUCGGAAUUACUGGGCGUAAAGGGCGCGUAGGUGGUUAGGUAAGAUCGAUGUGAAAUCCCUGGGCUUAACCUAGGAACUGCAUCGAUGACUGCGUAGCUAGAGUACUGUAGAGGGUAGUGGAAUUUCCGGUGUAGCGGUGAAAUGCGUAGAGAUCGGAAGGAACACCGGUGGCGAAGGCGGCUACCCGGACAGAUACUGACACUGAGGCGCGAGAGCGUGGGGAGCAAACAGG
rnacentral:rRNA from 1 species